rnacentral:rRNA from 1 species
GAUGAACGCUGGCGGCGUGCCUAAUACAUGCAAGUCGAGCGAACAGACGAGGAGCUUGCUCCUCUGACGUUAGCGGCGGACGGGUGAGUAACACGUGGAUAACCUACCUAUAAGACUGGGAUAACUUCGGGAAACCGGAGCUAAUACCGGAUAAUAUAUUGAACCGCAUGGUUCAAUAGUGAAAGACGGUUUUGCUGUCACUUAUAGAUGGAUCCGCGCCGCAUUAGCUAGUUGGUAAGGUAACGGCUUACCAAGGCGACGAUGCGUAGCCGACCUGAGAGGGUGAUCGGCCACACUGGAACUGAGACACGGUCCAGACUCCUACGGGAGGCAGCAGUAGGGAAUCUUCCGCAGUGGGCGAAAGCCUGACGGAGCAACGCCGCGUGAGUGAUGAAGGUCUUCGGAUCGUAAAACUCUGUUAUUAGGGAAGAACAAAUGUGUAAGUAACUAUGCACGUCUUGACGGUACCGAAUCAGAAAGCCACGGCUAACUACGU